rnacentral:rRNA from 1 species
CGGAUCGUAAGCUCUGUUGUUAGGGAAGAAACAAGUGCGAGAGUAACUGCUCGCACCUUGACGGUACCUAACCAGAAAGCCACGGCUAACUACGUGCCAGCAGCCGCGGUAAUACGUAGGUGGCAAGCGUUGUCCGGAAUUAUUGGGCGUAAAGGGCUCGCAGGCGGUUUCUUAAGUCUGAUGUGAAAGCCCCCGGCUCAACCGGGGAGGGUCAUUGGAAACUGGGAAACUUGAGUGCAGAAGAGGAGAGUGGAAUUCCACGUGUAGCGGUGAAAUGCGUAGAGAUGUGGAGGAACACCAGUGGCGAAGGCGACUCUCUGGUCUGUAACUGACGCUGAGGAGCGAAAGCGUGGGGAGCGAACAGGAUUAGAUACCCUGGUAGUCCACGCCGUAAACGAUGAGUGCUAAGUGUUAAGGGGGGUUUCCGCCCCUUAGUGCUGCAGCUAACGCAUUAAGCACUCCGCCUGGGGAGU